rnacentral:tRNA from 1 species
GCCUUCGUGGUGUAGUGGUUAGCACGCCGGGCGCGUGUUCGAGAUGUCCGUGGUUCGAGUCCUGGCGAGGGCA